UACGUAGGGGGCAAGCGUUGUCCGGAAUUAUUGGACGUAAAGAGCGCGUAGGCGGUCCGAUAAGUCGGCUGUGAAAGUCAGGGGCUCAACCCUUGAAAGCCGGCCGAUACUGUCGGACUAGAGUCCGGAAGAGGCGAGUGGAAUUCCUGGUGUAGCGGUGAAAUGCGUAGAGAUGUGGAGGAACACCAGUGGCGAAGGCGACUCUUUGGCCUGUAACUGACACUGAGGCGCGAAAGCGUGGGGAGCAAACAGG
rnacentral:rRNA from 1 species